CCUACGGGAGGCAGCAGUGAGGAAUAUUGGUCAAUGGUCGGGAGACUGAACCAGCCAAGCCGCGUGAGGGAGGAAGGUACAGAGUAUCGUAAACCUCUUUUGUCAGGGAACAAAGACUGGGACGCGUCCCCGGAUGAGUGUACCUGAAGAAAAAGCAUCGGCUAACUCCGUGCCAGCAGCCGCGGUAAUACGGAGGAUGCGAGCGUUAUCCGGAUUUAUUGGGUUUAAAGGGUGCGCAGGCGGUCUGUUAAGUCAGCGGGCAAAGCCCGGGGCUCAACCCCGGCCCGCCGUUGAAACUGGCAGUCUCGAGUUGGAGAGAAGUAUGCGGAAUGCGCGGUGUAGCGGUGAAAUGCAUAGAUAUCGCGCAGAACUCCGAUUGCGAAGGCAGCAUGCCGGCUCCACACUGACGCUGAGGCACGAAAGCGUGGGUAUCGAACAGGAUUAGAUACCCGGGUAGUC
rnacentral:rRNA from 1 species